AGAGCCAGCGAAGCAGUUGCGGAGGUUGCUACCGGUGGGUAGCCAUCUCUGAGGAAAGUCCGGGCACCCGAAAGACGCGAACUUGCUGGGUAACGCCCAGUGCGAGCGAUCGUGAGGAUAGUGCCACAGAAAAAUACCGCCGAUGGUUUUGGCCGUCGGUAAGGGUGCAAAGGUGCGGUAAGAGCGCACCAGCAGCAUCGAGAGGUGCUGGCUCGGUAAACCCCGGUUGGGUGCAAGGUGGCGGGAAUAUGGUUGGUCUUUUUCCAGUCCCAAGCCAUCGGUUACGGCUGAUGGAGAACCGCUUGAGGUAGUCGGUAACGGCUAUCCCAGAUAGAUAACUGCACUACAUUAAAGCCUCGCUUUAGUAGAACAGAACCCGGCUUAUGUCUGACUCUUCCA
rnacentral:RNase_P_RNA from 1 species